ensembl:lncRNA
GCACUACUGUGCCAUUAAUGUCACGGUACCGGUGCUGCAACGGUACUAUGGAGGGGAGGACACCCGCCCGGACUUCAGGCUGGGCACAGACGCCAUGCAGCACCUGAUGGUGGUCCUGAAGACUGACAGGCAGCACGGGUGGUGACGGCGUGUGUAAUUUUACACAACAUUUGUGUUGGUGUUGGGGAUGAGCUGGAAGAGGCUGUGGAGGACGACGACAACCAGCUACCUCUGGAGCGCGAUGGUGGGGAGAGCCGGAGUGGAGCUGCUUGGCGAGCUGCGCUGACCAACGAGGUGUCUGCACUGCAUGAGGCACCUCUGGA